UGGGGAAUUUUGGACAAUGGGCGAAAGCCUGAUCCAGCAAUGCCGCGUGUGUGAAGAAGGCCUUCGGGUUGUAAAGCACUUUUGUCCGGAAAGAAAUGGCUCUGGUUAAUACCUGGGGUCGAUGACGGUACCGGAAGAAUAAGGACCGGCUAACUAUGUGCCAGCAGCCGCGGUAAUACGUAGGGUCCAAGCGUUAAUCGGAAUUACUGGGCGUAAAGCGUGCGCAGGCGGUUGUGCAAGACCGAUGUGAAAUCCCCGAGCUUAACUUGGGAAUUGCAUUGGUGACUGCACGGCUAGAGUGUGUCAGAGGGGGGUAGAAUUCCACGUGUAGCAGUGAAAUGCGUAGAGAUGUGGAGGAAUACCGAUGGCGAAGGCAGCCCCCUGGGAUAACACUGACGCUCAUGCACGAAAGCGUGGGGAGCAAACAGG
rnacentral:rRNA from 1 species